AAAUUGAAGAGUUUGAUCAUGGCUCAGAUUGAACGCUGGCGGCAGGCCUAACACAUGCAAGUCGAACGGUAACAGGAAGCAGCUUGCUGCUUCGCUGACGAGUGGCGGACGGGUGAGUAAUGUCUGGGAAACUGCCUGAUGGAGGGGGAUAACUACUGGAAACGGUGGCUAAUACCGCAUAACGUCGCAAGACCAAAGAGGGGGACCUUCGGGCCUCUUGCCAUCAGAUGUGCCCAGAUGGGAUUAGCUUGUUGGUGAGGUAACGGCUCACCAAGGCGACGAUCCCUAGCUGGUCUGAGAGGAUGACCAGCCACACUGGAACUGAGACACGGUCCAGACUCCUACGGGAGGCAGCAGUGGGGAAUAUUGCACAAUGGGCGCAAGCCUGAUGCAGCCAUGCCGCGUGUAUGAAGAAGGCCUUCGGGUUGUAAAGUACUUUCAGCGGGGAGGAAGGUGUUGUGGUUAAUAACCACAGCAAUUGACGUUACCCGCAGAAGAAGCACCGGCUAACUCCGUGCCAGCAGCCGCGGUAAUACGGAGGGUGCAAGCGUUAAUCGGAAUUACUGGGCGUAAAGCGCACGCAGGCGGUCUGUCAAGUC
rnacentral:rRNA from 3 species